AACGCACCUUGCGCUCCUUGGUAUUCCGAGGAGCAUGCCUGUUUGAGUGUCAUUAAUAUAUAUCAACCUUGUGUUGGAUGUGGGGGUUUUGUUGGCCUUUGAGAGGUCAGCUCCCCUGAAAUGCAUUAGCGGAACUAACUUGCCGUUCAUUGGUGUGAUAAAACUAUCUACGUGAAAGGCAGGGUUCAGCUUCUAACAAGUCUAUCACUUAAUGUGACCUCAAAUCAGGUAGGGCUACCCGCUGAACUUAA
rnacentral:misc_RNA from 1 species